AGAUUGAGUUUGAUCCUGGCUCAGGAUGAACGCUGGCGGCGUGCCUAAUACAUGCAAGUCGAACGAAGAUCUAGCUUGCUAGAUCUUAGUGGCGAACGGGUGAGUAAUACAUAAAUAAUCUGCCCAUAUGACUGGGAUAACUAUUGGAAGCGAUAGCUAAUACCGGAUAGGUUAAUCGGAGGCAUCUCUGAUGAAUUAAAGUAGGAUUUCUACACAAAUGGAUGAGUUUAUGGCGCAUUAGUUAGUUGGUGGGGUAACGGCCUACCAAGACGAUGAUGCGUAGCCGACCUGAGAGGGUGACCGGCCACACUGGGACUGAGACACGGCCCAGACUCCUACGGGAGGCAGCAGUAGGGAAUUUUCGGCAAUGGGCGCAAGCCUGACCGAGCAACGCCGCGUGAGUGAUUAAGGCCUUCGGGUUGUAAAGCUCUGUUGUAAGGGAAGAACAUUCAGGAUAGGAAAUGAUCUUGAACUGACGGUACCUUACCAGAAAGCCACGGCUAACUACGUGCCAGCAGCCGCGGUAAUACGUAGGUGGCAAGCGUUAUCCGGAAUUAUUGGGCGUAAAGGGUGCGUAGGCGGUUUAUUAAGUCUAUGGUGAAAGUGCGGGGCUCAACCCCGUAUGGCCAUAGAAACUGGUAGACUUGAGUGCAGGAGAGGGCAAUGGAAUUCCAUGUGUAGCGGUAAAAUGCGUAGAUAU
rnacentral:rRNA from 1 species